GGAUUAGAUACCCUGGUAGUCCACACCGUAAACGCUGUCUACUAGCUGUGUGUGUCUUUAAGACGUGCGUAGCGAAGCUAACGCGCUAAGUAGACCGCCUGGGGAGUACGGCCGCAAGGUUAAAACUCAAAUGAAUUGACGGGGGCCCGCACAAGCGGUGGAGCAUGUGGUUUAAUUCGAUGCAACGCGAAGAACCUUACCUACACUUGACAUGCUGAGAAGUUACUAGAGAUAGUUUCGUGCCUUCGGGAACUCAGACACAGGUGCUGCGUGGCUGUCGUCAGCUCGUGCCG
rnacentral:rRNA from 1 species